rnacentral:rRNA from 1 species
UGGGGAAUAUUGCACAAUGGGCGCAAGCCUGAUGCAGCCAUGCCGCGUGUAUGAAGAAGGCCUUCGGGUUGUAAAGUACUUUCAGUCGGGAGGAAGGUGUCAAGGUUAAUAACCUUGGCAAUUGACGUUACCGACAGAAGAAGCACCGGCUAACUCCGUGCCAGCAGCCGCGGUAAUACGGAGGGUGCAAGCGUUAAUCGGAAUUACUGGGCAUAAAGCGCACGCAGGCGGUUGAUUGAGUCAGAUGUGAAAUCCCCGGGCUUAACCCGGGAAUUGCAUCUGAUACUGGUCAGCUAGAGUCUUGUAGAGGGGGGUAGAAUUCCAGGUGUAGCGGUGAAAUGCGUAGAGAUCUGGAGGAAUACCGGUGGCGAAGGCGGCCCCCUGGACAAAGACUGACGCUCAGGUGCGAAAGCGUGGGGAGCAAACAGG